UUGGAGGGCAAGUCUGGUGCCAGCAGCCGCGGUAAUUCCAGCUCCAAUAGCGUAUAUUAAAGUUGUUGCAGUUAAAAAAGCUCGUAGUUGGAUUUCGGGAUUAGUACGUUGGUCGUGCCUUCGGUACGUACUGGUGUUACUGAUUCCUACCUUCUGACGAACCAUCAUGUCAUUAAUUUGGUGUGGCGGGAAAUCAGGACUGUUACUUUGAAAAAAUUAGAGUGUUUAAAGCAGGCUCGCGCUUGAAUACAUUAGCAUGGAAUAAUGAAAUAGGACGUUGAUCCUAUUUUGUUGGUUCCUAGAAUUGACGUAAUGAUUAAUAGGGAUAGUUGGGGGCAUUAGUAUUCAAUUGUCAGAGGUGAAAUUCUCGGAUUUAUUGAAGACUAACUACUGCGAAAGCAUUUGCCAAGGAUGUUUUCAUUAAUCAAGAACGAAAGUUAGGGGAUCGAAGACGAUCAGAUACCGUCGUAGUCUUAWCCAUAAACUAUGCCGACUAGGGAUCGGAUGAUGUUAUUUUUAAUGACUCAUUCGGCGCCUUACGGGAAACA
rnacentral:rRNA from 1 species